rnacentral:lncRNA from 1 species
AUGAGGGAACAGGGCCAGCACGCGCUGGCAGUCACCGCGUCCCCGCCACGGGGACAGCCUGUCCUUGUCCCUCGGGGAGCCUCACCUGGCUUCAGGCUGCGACGGCGUGGGGGGGUACGCUCAGUCUCGGUGCUGAAGGGGGACGCUGCCCUGUGUCCUGUGCCACACAGCUGGGGAAGAGAAGACAGAAACUGGGCAGAAAGAGUGGGUUUGGGGUCUGGUCCUGCAGAGGGGGCUGCUGGCACAGGGCAUCCCCACGGACCCCACAGGGCUGGGGAGGGGCAGGAGGAACAGUCCCCGCACGGGCCCCACAAAGCCCUUGGUGGGGUUUGGGAACCCAACCCCGCAGACCCCACGCGUCCCACUGAGCCUUGCUCAUGGGGAAUGUACCCCACAAGGACCCCUUACAUCCUACAUGGACCCCUUUCACCCUACAUGGGCCCACUGCACCCCACAUGGACCCCUUCCACCCUACAUGGGCCCCACACACUCUACUUGGGCUACACACACCCCCAUGGACGCCAUACACCCCCCAUGGGCCCUACACAGCCCACAUGGACCCCAUACACCCCACAUGAGCCCCACACAGGCCCCACAGAGCCCUGGGGGCUUUGGGAGCCCACGUUGCACGACCCCACAGGGCCCUGGGGAGGGCACAGGCCCCACACAGCCCCUAUACUCGUGGUCUGGGGGAACCCACCCUACAGCCCCUCCAGGGCCAUGGUUUGGGGUACGCCCCCCCCAGGCCCCAUAGAAGCCCCCCAGGCCCCGGCCCCGCUCACCACCACCCGGCCCGGCCCGGCCCGGCCGCCCCGCUCCGCCCCCGGGUGGGCACGGCCUGAGCGGGCCCCUCCUGGGUCUCGGUCCCCGGGGUGGUGGCCAUGGCCCUGUGCCCUCCCCCGACCCCCCAAAUCCCGGUCCCCGUCCCCCCUUGUCCCCCCUGUCCCCCCCUUUUGUGCCCCCCGUCCCCGACCUCCGCAAGGCUGGGAGCCCGCGGGGGCUGCGGCGGGCAGGCCUUGA